CUUCUUAACGCUUGCCUCAGAUACCAUGAUCACGGUGGUGUUUUUCCAGGGCAAGGCUUAUCCAUUGCACUCCAGAUGUGCUGACCCCUGCAAUUUCCCCAAAUGUGAGAAACUUGAUGGCAUAAUCCGUAGUAGUGGGGGACAGUGUUUCUGCUCUCCCCUC
ensembl:snRNA U1 U1 spliceosomal RNA